CCGGCCUGCAUUCACUUUUUAAAACAAAAAUGGUUGAGCUCGUAGUUAAUAAAAUCUUGGAUUUUUGUCAGAUGAAUUGCUUUUAAGAAGGGUCUACCUUAUCAGAACCUGUGCAACUAAAUUACUGAAUCUAAGUGAAAUAUUAAAUAUUUAUUUCUAUCUUAUUUCCAAAUUGUUAGUUUCAGUCAAUUCAAUGAAUUUUUUCUCAUUCUGCUAAAGAGCUUUUAAUUAUUUCAAUAAGUAGUACAUAUAGAUGGUAAGCAAUGACAGUAGUACCAAAGGGUAAAAAAUGUCUUAAACCUACUAUUCUCCUCCCUGGUGGAAACCACCAUUCCCAGUUUCUUGUGUAUUUUUCCAGCAUUAUCCUCUGUGUAUGUAUAUGAUUGUGCAAAUAAUAUUUAAGAAAAUAUACAGAAAUGGCAGCACACUAUAUAUACUACUAUGCUAACUUUUUUCACUUAACACAGAGACCAGGAAAAGACUCUUAAAGGAGGCCUUUGAGCAGAUGAAUGAAUGACGACAGAGUCACCUGUGCAAGAUAUGAAGGAACGGUGAUAUUCCAUACAGAAGGCACAGCAAGUACAAAUGCCCUAAGAUGGGAAUGAGCUUGGCAUAUAUUAGGAACAGAAAGAAACCCAUGCUACUGGAGCUUACUGAAUGAGCAGGAAAGACAUAUAAGAAAAGUUGAAGACGUAGAUAGGAGUCAGAUUAUACUGGUAGAUAGGAGUCAGAUUAUACUGGGCUUUCGGGUAAUGAUGGGAAAAUCUGAUUUGUUUCUCUUCAAUAUUGGAAUUCUCUGGCGAUUUGGGAAUAGUUGUUGAAACAGUAAAAAAUAAAAUCAUCUAACAAUUUUACCUACAUACAUAUCAUGAGAUACCAUAAAAUGCUUGGCUGAAAUCAAGAUACUCAUUUUAAAAGCUGCGUAAUAAAUGAUUUCUUAAUAAAAGGAUUCAUUUUUACACUCUUAGCCAAAGGCCAGAAUUAUUGCAAACAGAGACAAACUUGUAACAGUGAGAUGGUCCUGAAAGAGGGCCUCCCUACACUUGUUUAAUAAUGAGACAGGGACUCAAGUAAGAAGUUAACCUGAAGCCUGAGAACGGGAUUCUAAUAGAGUGGAGAGAGGCCUGGUAUAGGAGUCAGAGACCUCAGUUUGACAUUACUAAAUUUCCUUUUGCCUGCCUCAGUUUUCCCACCUGUGAGGUAACACUUCCUGGCUAUGUAUCUCACAACAUUUUUCAGAAAAUCAAAUGAGGUAAUGCAUGUGAUGGUUAUUUGCAUACUGCAUAGUAUUAACAUGUGUACAGUAUUAUUAUUUUUGAAUAAAACUACAGGAAGAAUAUUGUGUGAGGGAGAAUGUAGAACUAUUAAAUAACACAUCAGUAAAUAUGUGUUGAAAGCUUCCUGUACUUCGUAUGUUCAGCCCUGUAAUAAUAAGCCAAUGUGAUAAAUAUUUAUUUAGUAUCUAUUAUUUUGAAGGCCUGGUGAUACAUACAGCAAGUGAUACAGCAGCAAGUAAGACAGCAGGAAACCAGAAUUCCCAGUGGUCACACUUUGGAGGGAAGAUGGAGCUGACCUGCAGAGAGAAGUGAAGACAAUAAACUGAGAAAGACCAAGAGGAAUUAUCCGCCUGAAGAAAUUUAAGUUCCCACCUGUCCCCAGCUGUAUCAUUAGAUUCAUAGGAUUUUUUGACAGUUACAAUACAUUUAUCUUUACUUCAACUAGCUUGUGUGUUUGUUUUUCUUAUAAUGAGAUUAAGAUAAUUCUGUUUUUAUGUGCAUAUUUUUAAUCUGGAUGAAUACUGCAUUUAGUAAUGCCUCAAAAAAUAGAAAGGAAUGGCCUCCACCCACUCUGGUGCUCUCUGAAGGAAAUUGAAGGCAAGCACCAAAGCAUGCAUAUCUUAAGUAUUUGCAAAGAACAGCAGUUUCAUCCAGAAUGGGAUUUGAUGAGUAACUUCUGUGACCAAGAUGGAACUUAAUAGAAAAGCUUUUCCUCGUAAGAUGGAUGGUUCAGUAACUGCAGUCACUCAGCAAAUUAUAGUAAGCGUCCACUGCAUGUGCUAGGCACUGCGUGAGCAGUUCUGCAGCCCUCAAGGAGAUUAGGUAAGUUCUAAGUAAGGUUCCCAGUAGGACAAUGAGUAAAUCACAGCUACUAGGUAAUACACUCCAGCCCACUGAAUGCUAAGGAUGAUUUCAAAAGGAAAGCACUGGGCCGGAGAGUUGAAGGGUUUGAGCCACACAUAAAAAAUUCAGCCCUUUCUUCCUUAAAUUUCUCUGACAUGGAUUCCAAGUUUAAACAAAUUCCUGUAAGCAAGUUUCUGAGACAAUUCUGAACAAGUCGACAAAGAUUUACUAAAAUCUUACCAUGUGCUAGGCAGUGAGCCUACACUAAGAUGAAAAGGGCUUGGCACCUUGUCAAGGAGUUUUUGUGUUAGAAAGUGAACUAAGAUAAACACAUCCAAACGGCUUUUGAAUCCUGAUAAGAGAUAUCAUUCACUCACUAGCUUCCUAUGUGUAUUGAUGCCUGAAUAUUGCAUUGGUGAAUUCUGUACCUAUCUAAAACCUUUGUGACUCUACCUGAUCUCCCGUCAUUAAAUUCUAUCCCAUUAGGAACAGAUGUGAUUCCAAAUAAUGUCAUUAUAGCUUCCUAAGAGUAAAAAUAACUGAAAACCCUCAACUUUCUCUCUGGACAAAGUCUAGGGAAGUCCACUGAAUCUUAGCCUUGGAAAGCACAGUGUCAGACUUGAAGCAAUGAUAGAUUUGGUGCCAUUUUUGUCGUUGAAGAAAAGGACAAGCAGUAUAACCCUCUGAGUCCACAGGUCAUGAGCAAGUUAAAACAUCAGUUGUCAGCCCAGGAAGCAAGUUGAAAGAGAGCUCUCUGGCGCAAGAGCUGAAGCUGUCAGUCACAUUAACGGAAUAAAAAGAGUGUACAAAUAUCCCUGGAUUCCCAAAUCAAAUUGUCUCUUUCUUCCAUGAUAGAUCAAGGAACUUUCUCAGAAUCAGUUAAGGACCCAGCACAGCUGGGAUUAGAGACUUACAGGAAGAAGCACGAGAUCAGAAAAUAUUUAGACAGCAUCUUGCAGAUGCACAGUCCUGCCUAAGUGCUUCAUAAUCAUAAUGUUAUGGUUGAGUGUCUAUCAAAUUAUAGCUGAAGACAAAGCAAAGCACAGACCUUUUCAGAGCAGUUACUGCUUACUUAAUGGUCUGAUAGGGCAAAGGAUACAUUCUUGGAAAUGUCAGGUAUUCAGUAAGUCAUAGUCUUAGAAAGAGAAAAAAGACAGUCCUUCCAGAAUUCAGGCUUAUUACCUAAGAUAAAAGUCACAGUUCACGCCCAGCAGGAAUUUACGAAGACAAACACAAAUGUUGCACUAUUAGUCCCCAAAGCUCCAUAAUCAAACAAGGGAUUUCAGCUGCUCCGAAUCAUCCAGCCACAUUCCUAAAAUGCCAUGUUAUCAAGACUCGAAAGAUUCCAUAGUGAAUUAAUGUGAGCUAGGAUUCAAGUGGACCCUGACACAAAAACCCUCAAGAGGAGGCAGACUGUAGCUAUGGAAAGGGGAAAGAGCAGGUAGAUUGAAGUCAGAUGGAUCUGACUUUAGAUCUCAGGGCCAACAUUUGACAGCUCUGUUCUUUGCUCAAGUUACUUAACAUCUCUGAGCCUCAAGUCUGUCUUCUGUAAAAUGACAGUAAUAAUACCUACCUCACAGGGUUACGGGGAGAAUUAAGAAAGGUAAUGUGUGAUGCAUAAUACCUGACAUGUGGUGGAUAAUCAAUAAAGAUCUGUCCCCUUUCCCUAGUAUAGCCUAGAAGUAAAUGUCACUUUAUAGUUUGUGUUUCCUUAUACUUAAGGUAUCUUCAUUGGACUGGAGAGGCACUAUGGAGGAGUUAAAGCAUACAGCAAAUGGAACUGAAUUGCCUGAGCUUGAAGCCUGGUUUCACUGCUCUCUAGCUGUAUAACUGGGCUAGUUACUUAGCCUGUUUGUAUCCCAGUUUCCACCGAGGCUGAAUUGAAUGAAUAUAGGUGAAUGGUGUGGAACAGUGUCCAGCACAUAGUGAGCACUUGUGACCUGCCGCUUCUCCAUCAACAGGUGGUGUCCCCUCACCUUGAAUCUGCGUGGGCUUUUCACACCUUUGUUCAAUACAGCAUGGUGGAAGUAACUCUAUGAGUUACAACACAACAUUCAGCUUCUAUCUGGUCUACCAGAACACAUGCAUUUGGAGCCCUGAGGCCACCAUGCUUGUGAGGAGGCUGAGCCACAUGGGGAGGCCACAUGGAGGUGCUCUGGUCAGCAGCCCUACUCUACAAGCCACCUUUUUAUCCCAGGUGGCAGAAGUGUGACAAAGAGGCACUCAAGUGACUUUCUGUUGCCAUGACAGGAGCAAUUAUCAGAUCCUUGGGAAUGAAGGUAAGGAAGGUGAAGUUUGUUUUUAACUUUUCAUUCCCCCUGCCCAACCUCUCUUUCAGUGCCAGGACAGUGGUCCCAACUUCUCUCAGGAUCCUGAAUGUAUCACCAGGGGUACUCCACUUUCAUCUCCCCUCCUCCAAAUAUCCUAAGCUCCAAGACAGCUCUCCUUUAGUUAGCAGAGCAUCACCCUUGCUAUGCUUUGUACAAA
rnacentral:lncRNA from 1 species